CAAAUACUUUCAUCUAAUACAGCAUAGGAGCAAUACAAUUUUCUAAUUAAAUGAUUUUUGUGUGUUUGUAUUUGCGUGGCUACUAUUGUGCACUAGAGACAGAGGACACCUCACAGGAGUCAGUUCACUAUCAUGUGUGCCUUGCCAAAGCAGUUUCUUUAAAAAAAAGGGGGGGGGGUUGGGGAUUUAGCUCAGUGGUAGAGCGCUUGCCUAGUAAGCACAAGGCCCUGGGUUCGGUCCCCAGCUCCGAUUAAAAAAA
rnacentral:lncRNA from 1 species